rnacentral:rRNA from 1 species
GAUGAACGCUGGCGGCGUGCCUAACACAUGCAAGUCGAACGGAAAGGCCCUGCUUUUGUGCGGUGCUCGAGUGGCGAACGGGUGAGUAACACGUGUGUAACCUGCCCUUGUCUUUGGGAUAACUUCAGGAAACUGGGGCUAAUAUCGGAUAGGAGAUCCUGCUCCAUGGUGGGCGUUGGAAAGUUUCGGCGGUUGGGGAUGGACUAGCGGCUUAUCAGCUUGUUGGUGGGGUAGUGGUUUUCCCAGUCUUUGACGGGUAGGCGGCCUGUGAGGGUGGCCGGGGACAAUGGGACUAAGGGACGGCGCAGACGCGUACGGGAGGCAAAGGGGGGGAGUAUGACACAGUGAGCGGAAGCCUGAGGCGGAGGCCCCGGGUGCGGAAAGACGGCCUGCGGGUGGAGAACCGCUUUCGCCUGUGACGAAGCGUGAGUGACGGUAAUGGGUAAAGAAGCACCGGCUAACUACGUG